rnacentral:rRNA from 1 species
AACGAACGCUGGCGGCAUGCCUAACACAUGCAAGUCGAACGAACCCUUCGGGGUUAGUGGCGCACGGGUGCGUAACGCGUGGGAAUCUGCCCUUUGCUUCGGAAUAACUCAGGGAAACUUGUGCUAAUACCGGAUGAUGUCUUCGGACCAAAGAUUUAUCGGCAAGGGAUGAGCCCGCGUAGGAUUAGGUAGUUGGUGGGGUAAAGGCCUACCAAGCCAACGAUCCUUAGCUGGUCUGAGAGGAUGAUCAGCCACACUGGGACUGAGACACGGCCCAGACUCCUACGGGAGGCAGCAGUGGGGAAUAUUGGACAAUGGGCGCAAGCCUGAUCCAGCAAUGCCGCGUGAGUGAUGAAGGCCCUCGGGUCGUAAAGCUCUUUUACCAGGGAUGAUAAUGACAGUACCUGGAGAAUAAGCUCCGGCUAACUCCGUG